rnacentral:hammerhead_ribozyme from 1 species
AUCCUACUGACGAGUCCCAAAUAGGACGAAACGCGUGUCCUGGAU